UUCGCCAGGGUACUACAAGCGUUAGCUUAAAACCCAAAGGACUUGGCGGUGCUUUAGACCCACCUAGAGGAGCCUGUUCUAUAACCGAUAACCCCCGUUAAACCUUACCCCCCCUUGUCACCACCGUCUAUAUACCGCCGUCGUCAGCUUACCCUGUGAAGGUUUUAGUAAGCAAAAGUGGUUUACCUCAAAACGCCAGGUCGAGGUGUAGCAGAUGGGGGGGAAAGAAAUGGGCUACAUUUCCUAUAGCAGGAAAUAACGAAAUUUGUAAUGAAACAGCAUAUUGAAGGAGGAUUUAGCAGUAAAAAGAGAAUAGAGAGCUCU
rnacentral:rRNA from 1 species